CAGUAGCCGCGGGAAUACGUAGGUGGCAAGCGUUGUCCGGAAUUAUUGGGCGUAAAGGGCUCGCAGGCGGUUUCUUAAGUCUGAUGUGAAAGCCCCCGGCUCAACCGGGGAGGGUCAUUGGAAACUGGGAAACUUGAGUGCAGAAGAGGAGAGUGGAAUUCCACGUGUAGCGGUGAAAUGCGUAGAGAUGUGGAGGAACACCAGUGGCGAAGGCGACUCUCUGGUCUGUAACUGGCGCUGAGGAGCGAAAGCGUGGGGAGCGAACAGGAUUAGAUACCCCGGUAGUCCCUGUCUCUUAUAC
rnacentral:rRNA from 1 species